GUGGCUGUUCUGAUUCCUGUUGCUGCAGCCAGCGUGGAUCCAGAUGCCGUGGCUACAGAGGCUUGCUACUUUCUCAUGCUGGAUCCCUCAAAUCCAAGAGCUACUUGGCAGUUUCCAAGGCAACCACCUGUGGAAUAAUUAAAAAGGAUGAAGUGUUAGCCUGCCAGAUAUAAGGAAUUCUUGCCUGGAGAGAGCAUUUCACUUUCAUCUGCCUUGAAGAACCAAAUGUGCUUCUGCCAGCAAAGUUAAGAAAAAGGAAAGGUGGCUGAGUUGUACAAGUGAACCAGGACAAUCCAAAACGUGACUCAAAGCAGGAGGGAGCAGAUGGCAGCAUCGUUAGCUGGUGGCCACAGCCUUCCCAGAUGAGUUUUGGAAUUUCCAUCAAAGUCGGGAUUAGGCUCAGGAUAUGCCGGUGGCACAGAGCACGCCGGGGGAGCGUGGAAGAAGAGGAAAUCAUUCAUAGCGACUCAUCUCGUGGUUGGGUGCUGAUCUCACAAAGGUGUCCUGCAUGUGCCAAAGGACGAACGUGUUGUUUGAGGGAAAAGCUGUCCAUAAAUCUGUGCAAACUGAAAGAUUCUGAAGACAAACCUGUCAGUAGUGAAUUGUCCCAGAAGCACAUGGAGAAAUUUGUACAUGGUGGAGGCUGUUUUUUCUGAGCUCAAUGAGAAAGUUGCCCUCAGCUCUUCUGAUCAUUAAAUCUAAGAAGGAUGGAGCAGUUCAAGAUCUGAAAAUGUUCUAAAACUUCCAGGACCUAAUUAGAAGGAGGCAUCUUGGAGCAGCACAAUAGCUCUCUCUGUGCAGUUCAUUUGUUUUUCCAAUUUAGAAAUGACAGUUUACAGCCCUAACGCGAGCGUGUUUCUCAUUAGCCGUGUUCUAGAAAGACACAGAGUUAUUACAAGUUCUGAAAGAUGCUUUCUUCAGAAGUGCAAAUGAUAUUAAAUGGCAGAACUUGCUCUCUGGAUAGUCAGAUGGAGAUGCUGUGGUCUGCACCCAUCCUAGGUCGUGCGGUAAAGGCAGAGCCAUGCAGCCAGACCUCUGCUUCAAAUCCAUGGGUGUCAUGAAUGCAAUGCAUAGAAGAGAUGCUACAGCACGAUUUAGCCUUGUCCUGGGAAGAUAAUGGCUGGGAAGUGUCAUUGCUUUCCUUGUUUCACAGAUGGAUCUCAGGUUUCUUGGACUUUCUCAUGAAGAUUUUCUUGGAGAGGACUGUGUUAGCUGUGCUGCUGACAGAUGCCCUUGUGAGAACUGUCCCCACUAACUUGAUUUCUCUCCUUCAGCCAUCUAGAAGUUUGGUUCCUAGUCUAAGCUGGUUGGUUUUGUUGUCCUUGUGGUAAAGGAAGAGAGAGCUGCAUCUUGGGAGAUGAUAAAGCUUUAGGAAAUUAUGUGAUUGGUCUUUUACAUGGUUUUCUGCACCCUGAAGGGAAAGAGUUUGAAAAUACUUUUUUGCCUGUAAUCAGGACUCCACAGAUGGGUUCAUCUUGGGUGAUGGUGUAGGGUCUGGAACUGAAGUUCUAUGAGGAGCAGCUGAGGGAGCUGGGGGGGCUCAGCCUG